GGCCAUAUCAUGUUGAAACACUGUUUUCCAUACUAUCAGUGAAGUUAAACAACAUUGAGCCUGGUCAGUACCUAGAUGGAUGACCACUUGGGAAUAUCAGGUGCUG